CACACCAAACCCGAUGGCACCCGAUGAGUGCCAUGGGAUUUGGAUGAUUUUGCGCAACACUCAUAUAUGUUUGUGUUAUGUAUUUUAAGCGUGUUUGUUUUGCUCGCAGAACCAAUUACGGAAGAAAAAAAAAAUAAAAAUUGCUGGAGCCCAUUUGUUCGGUUCGGAUUUUUCCCGUUGUAGCCGUGCGGUAAAUCACCUUUUCGGUUGUAUUUCGCCGGACCGUGUAACCGUGUCACACCUAAAUCGUUUGCGGGUACGUACGUCUGGGAAUUGGAGCUGGAUUUCUUCAAGCGGAACCACUUUAUCCAGGGUAACCUUCCGCACCAGCACAUCCCCGCAGCUCGGGCAUCACGCUUGAGGCACUCCAGGUCACCUUGAUGCUGGCGGAAAGGAAUUGAAUGAUCUACGCUGCUGGUCUUCAAGGAAUCCAAGCGUCGCUUCCGGGAACUGAUCGAGGGCUGGAGAACUACCGCAGGAGUAAGGCAAGUUCCUCCAUCAAAGGGCAAUGUACGAAAGCUCCUUCUAAACCCAGAUCCGGCGAUGGAUGGAGCGGGAUCCGGUGAUGUUGCCGCAAGGCAGUGGCAUCUACAUUGCCACCUACAUUUUUUUUUGCUUAAGGGUUCGUUCAAUUACUACUUAACGCUAAAUGGGAAGAGAAGGUCGUAGCGCUGUGUUACGCUUUAUACUCAAAAUUUCUUCGCUUUAAUCUCAAAAUUUUCCAUACAGAAGUAGUUAGGUGGGAGAUGGGGGUCUAAAACUAAAAUGUUUUGUCAAGUAAUAUUUGAAUGAACCCUAACAAUUAUAUCUAGGGUAUGUGUGCCAUCAGUAAUCUCAUGCUCCCAUAUUAAUCCUAUUCGAAAACAAGCGAUUGUGGCACCGAUUGAUUCCGUUCUUUCUGUUUUCAUGCGUGCUCACUUCUAACAAAAAAUACAAAAAUAAGAAACAAAACAAACAACGCUGCAAUCCUUUGUUUUUCGUAGGAUGAAAAUGGGAGCCACAUGCUUAGGAAAAAAAACUACAACUCUAUUUUCUUUACACGUAUUAAUUAUUUUUGGAAUUACCUAAUCUGGUAAAGAGUUUUCAGAAGUUUUGUUGAAAUUCCUGAAACAAUUUGUGCUAAAUUUCUAGGGAAACAUAAGUGCCAUUUCUAGAGAAAGGCUUUGAUGAAAAGUCAUCAUUGAACGACGAAAGAUUUUGUUUAGGGACCAUGCUAAACAUAAUUUGGAAUUUAUAUUAAUAGGAAUUGUUCAUAAACUGCAACUGUAAAUAGUAUUUUCCCAAGAGUAUGUCUCCUGUAAAAUGUCCUUACAUAGUUUACUAAAAAUCGUAUUGUGCUUCUAAAUUCUUACAAGAACACUGCUAAACUUUCAAGGUACCUAGUUUUAUUUAUGACAACCGCUUUUUAAAUUUUUACUUUAAGAAAAUUAAGAAUAAUCUUUUGCAUUUGGAUGCUUUGAGGGGUCCUCAAAUGUAGGUUCACUCUUUAAGCUUGGAGCGCUUGAAUACGUUUGCGUCAAAUUUAAUAGCUUUCUCGUGCGGCAAUUAUCAAAUUUGACACAAUUGUAUGCUUGUUCUCCGUGCUGUAGUCCAUCGAGUGUCUUGUUACAAUAAUGGUUAAGCACGCUGUAAUGUUACUUUUGCACCUCAUCACCCACUAAAUGCAACUACAUUAGUGGACUAAUAACACUUAGCGCGCUUAGGCACGGUUCCAUCAUGCCGCUCAUAGUGUUGCCACAUAUAAUGCUUAGUUUGUUAAACCCAGUUAUCUGGUUGGUGGGGCAUGGGAGCCUAAGCUUCGACCAUUAAUGCAAUCAGACCUUAUUUGAACUAUGACAUGAGCGAUCCAAAUAUUUGAAGAACUUUUCAAACUAUAUAGAAGCUUGUGUAUGUCAACAUUUAACGAACUUAAUCUAUGCAAUAUUUUGCAUUUUAACGCUUCGAACGAUCUUCAAGUAUAGGUUCAAGUUGUAGUAUAUCGAGUAUUUUGAGUGCUACAAUAAUGGUUAAGCACGCUGUAAUGUUACUUUUGUACCUCAUCACCCAAUAAAUGCAACUACAUUAGUGGUCUAAUAACACUUAGCGCGCUUAGGCACGGUUCCAUCAUGCCGCUUAUAGUGUUGCCACAUAUAAUGCUUAGUCUGCUAAACCCAGUUAUCUGGCUGUUGGGCAUGGGAGCCAAAGCUUCAACCAUCAAAGCAAUUAAACAUUACUCGAUUUACUACAUGAGUGAUCCAAAUAUUUGAUAAUUGUUCGAUCUGUUUUUGAAAUGUAGCUUAAAAUAUACAAGCUUCUAGUCCAAAUGCAUAAUAAUAGUUCAGUUUCGCUUCAUUCAGGAUUUGCUCAAGCAGUUUAUAUUUUUGUAAAGUUAAACUUAGAGGUUGAAGUAAGAAUUUUCUGUUUCACAAUAGAAAACAAUUUCCAAACCAUUCGACUUAAUGUAAAAAUAGUGCAAACAAUAUGUUCUGCAUCACAAUAGACAACAAUUCCAAAACAAUUGAAUCUUACGUGGAGCCAGUAAUAAUGUCACUGCUCAAAGCAACACGUUUACCAUACAUUUCACUGUUUAGAACAAUUUAAAAACAUAAGAAUCUUCUGUAUCACAAUAGAAAACAAUUCCCACACCAUUGAAUCAAUUGUGGAACCAGUAAUAGAAUCACUAUUCAGAACAAUACGUUUACCGUUCGAUUCACUGUUUGAAACAAUUCGAAAACAUAAGAAUCUUCUGUAUCACAAUAGAAAACAAUACCCAAACAAUUGAAUUCAAUGUAAAAACAGUACAAACUGUAUGUUCUGCUUCACAAUAGAAAACAAUUUCAAAACAAUUGAAUCAAAUGUGGAACCAGAAAUAAAAUGACUGCCCAAAAAAAUA